rnacentral:rRNA from 1 species
UACGGAAGGCAGCAGUGGGGAAUAUUGCACAAUGGGCGAAAGCCUGAUGCAGCUAUGUCGCGUGUAUGAAGAAGGCCUUCGGGUUGUAAAGUACUUUCAGUCGUGAGGAAGGUGUUAAGGUUAAUAACCUUAGCAAUUGACGUUAGCGACAGAAGAAGCACCGGCUAACUCCGUGCCAGCAGCCGCGGUAAUACGGAGGGUGCGAGCGUUAAAUCGGAAUUACUGGGCGUAAAGGGCACGCAGGCGGUUAAUUAAGUUGGAUGUGAAAUCCCCGGGCUUAAACCUGGGAAUGGCAUUCAAGACUGGUUAGCUAGAGUCUUGUAGAGGGGGUAGAAUUCCAUGUGUAGCGGUGAAAUGCGUAGAGAUGUGGAGGAAUACCGGUGGCGAAGGCGGCCCCCUGGACAAAGACUGACGCUCAUGUGCGAAAAGCGUGGGGAGCAAAACAGGGAUUAGAUACC